AUAUAUCGUAUCGUGUCAUUAAAUAUUCAUAACAACAGAUCGAUGCAAAUUAAUAAUCCUUGCAAAAAAAAUGCACACGUUUGCUUCACGCCAAUUUUUUUAGUACAAAGUGUAAGUAAACGUGAUUAAAUAGAGAUGUUUGUUCUAAAUGUAUCAUUGCAUUGACGCGUGCAACGCAUCCUCGCUGUGUAUGAAUGGCGUCCUGAUGCGCCUAUCUCACCGCGCAGGCGUAUAGAACCCAUGUACCGUUGAGAGAAGGCGAACGAAAUUGUUGCAUAAGAGCGUUGGUAAUCGGUUAGCGUGUAACAAUAGUAAAAGGCAAUACCGUUGCAGCUUAGAUGUUUAACGGGCAUGACUGGAAUUCGUAAUUCUAGAUCGAUUCGAUUAGGCUAAGUGCAACAAUCAAUUUUUCCUUCUCGAAGAUUCCAUUUAUAAAAAUUCUUCUCGAUCGAUUGUAAUAACCUUUUUUUAAAGUCACUUCGAGACGACUUCGACUCGACCAAUUUCAUCAAUCAAUUAACCAUCUUUUUAGUGACAUUUUGGAUGGGUAUUGUAGAAGCGCAAAGAAUAGAAACGAUCAAGAUCAAUAAUAUAAAUUACAAAGAGUAUCACGAAAAAGAAGAAACGUACACGUGUCCAUAUUAUGUGCAGAUUUCAACUUAAUUUGGAAAAGUUAAAAAUAUAAAUUUAAAUUACAAUAUUUUAAAUUAGAGUUAAUUUUCUCUUUGACAUAUGAUUCUAUAAAUUAUGAUAAAAUUAUGAAUAAUAGUUAAUUAGCAGAAAUUCCUGUGACGUAAUCGAAUGUAUUACAAAACGGAAAAUAAAUAUUCAAACAACGAGAGUUGAAUUAAUAAUAUAUUAAAACCUAAUUAAAUCAUACUUUUUGCUCGUUCUUUUUUCAAGUUAAACGAUCAUUUUUCAUUCAUCGGUAUCUUGUUUUCUUCUUCUUUAACACCGACUAAUUUUAAAACGACGGAUCAAUUUUUUUUUAUAUGCAAAGAAGUGGUGGCCAAGCCAUUGCUUAAAAAUUCAGACAGACACCAUCACUCGUUGUUCCCCCUUCCUCUUCCUCCCGUAUGUCGAAUUCCAAAUAAAGAAUCCAUCCUUAGUUAACGGUUCUUCCACGUCCUUCAAAAGAUCCACCUCGAGGAAAACUAUUCGUAUAAUUCGCAAUCUCGUCUAAUUUACGAUACCAUCGGUUGGUAAUUACGGAUAACAAUCAGUGAUGCAUAACCAGGAUACCAAACGAGCGACAAAUCACGAGUAAGAACAUGUACAACCAGUGCGACGAUGAUUCAAAAAUAAUCGAUAAUUUUCUCUAUCGAUAAGUUACAGAAACUUAUCGAUAAGUUGUAGAAACUUUUUAGGAUUCUAAAAAUCAUUUCGGAAAAAACUCUGCGCUGAAAUCUGUGAGGUUCACGAAAAUCACAUGAUUUUCAGGAUGAAAAGCGGGGCGGCUAGCUCACGCGUUUCCAUCGCAUUUCCUCGUUUCCCGGCGCGACCGAGUCAGCGAGCCGGCGUGCGUUUCGCAAAGAAAAAGUGAGCGGACACACUCGAGGCAUUCACAUAUCUCCCCUCGGGCGAUUGGAUUUAUGUCGUUCGAUCACGUGAAACUUUCCGCAUGAGUUGAACGAGAUACUACCUAGUAUAGUAUAGGGAACGAACUUCAUCCAUUAUUGCCCCACUUUUCACCAUUUUUUUUUUUUUAUCGAUUUCAUUUCUCGAGAUCGAUUUCACGAAAAUUUUGCGGCCAUGUUAAAUAGAGCUCGAGCGGAUUGUGCGCACUAAUCGCAAGGUGUCGUUUUAUUUCUGCGCUUGGAAAGUGUUGGUGCAAAGAAUCGGAACGCAGCGCGAUCUAUAUAUUCGGCGUUCGAUUCUUAUUUCUUAAUAACAAUUUUAAUAAUAAUAAUAAUAAUAAUAACAACGGAGUUAUUAAUGAGUAGGCUUGAAAAACAGACAGAUUAGAGAAUUUCAAAACUUCUGAUUCAAAAAAGGCAAUUUAUAUUCCGAAGUAAAGAUGAUACGAAGUAAUUUUUACGGAUCAACACGAAAAAGAUAUUAUUCUCAUCGCCUUUUUCGGCAAUCUAAUCUAAGCUUAUCUAAUUUGUAGUAAGUUUCUGACUAAUUCUGUAUUAUUACACGUGUAUGAUAAUAAAUAGGAAUGGAAUAUGGUAAUUGGACAGGAAGCGUUGAUCGAGGUAAAGUCUUGAGCCUAGAGCCUAAUACACGCGAUAAAUUAUUACUGUUUCUAACUAACCCAAUCAAACGUGGCGUGCGUAAUAUAACGCGAAAUAUAAAUUUCUUGCUCCCCGUCAUUCGGUCGUUGUCGUCGCGUUGUCUUUCAAGGCCGCCCGGCAGAACACGUACCCGGCUCACCCACUCGUGAAACAUCUGAAUUACCUACACAAUUUUUCGGUAUUUGACUCGAAUAAUAAACAGAGAGAACGAGGUGUAAUAAUAUUUUAAACACGCGCGAAAGACUGUAUUGUUGUUCUCUCAAUUUAAAAAUAUUGAAAAAAAAAAAAUAAAUAAAUAAAAAUCAUUAAAGAAAAUAUAUAUAUAUAAAUAAUUAAAUUAGAACGAAAUCUCGUCUCUCCGAUUUUUAAUGUAUCUUAUGUGUGUGCGAAAUCGCAUGCAUAUCACCCAUAUAAUUACACGCAGGGUACUGUCAUUUCCUCGAAUGCGUUGAAACCGGUCAUCAAUGGAGAACGGGAUUUCUGGCCAAGAUCCAAGAUCAUGGUCAUCGACUGCUGACCAUUGACUGCUUCCAUUACUACCUCUUCUUCCGUUCUCAUGUAUUAUUUUUCAAGAUCAAAUUUUAAUUCACGAUUAAAAAAAAAAAAAAAAAAUAAAACAUUUAUUCAAAAAUUUGAUCGAAAAUAUGUAUCUCUCCCCUCUCGUUUUGUAUAGAUACGAUUUUUUUUUUUUUCGUGUAAAUAAUUAUCCUCAAAAGACAAGUCCCACUUUUGCUCGGUUGAAAACAAUGGAAGCCGAGAUCGUUCAUAAAGGCGAAAAAAAAAAAAAAAACUUGGAACGAAUUCAUGGCGUAUAAAUAAAACGUUGUUUGAAUGAUUUUGAAUAAGUUUCAAAGGGAAAGUAUUCUUAAUCUUUUACAAUAGGAAUAUUGAAAAAGGUUGUAAUUAAAAUUUUAUUUGAAACGAGCGUAUGCAUAAACCAUAAUUACACGGGCUUGCACGGGCCGUGGCCGAUCAAUGAAACAGCGGCGACACACACAGGCCAGCGGUUGUUACCAGCAUUUAAAACCCGCAAAUCCCUAGAGCUUGGUAAUAUUUAUUAUCGCGCAGAGACGGUUGAGACUGUGAUUGUGAGAAUCCUUAGGAAAGUACUUUCCCAUGCAUGGGCGCCUUCCAUUCGUCGGGAGAAAAGGUUAAAACUUAUGAGAUGGCCAGAAGCUGUGCGUUACUACGAAGUAGUAAAUUGCUAUUCGCUCAUCAAAUGCACCCUUGUGCAAAAUAAUGAAUAGAAAUAUGUAAAUGGCGAAUAAUAAAAUCGUGUUAAUGCAGCGUUUUCCUAACCUUUAUUCCAACGUUGUUGUGCGUUCGCGACUCCUUUUUAAGGAUCUUAUGGACUUCUUAUGACGCGUGUAAUUUAUCAUAUGAUAAUCGAUAAAAUUAUUAAGAAAAAUGUGAAAUCGAGCCUCGUGACACUUUCAAGGAUAUUUUGAAAUUUUCGAUUAAUCUUUCUUGUUACAAAAAAAAAAAAAAAAAAGAUUAUAAUUAACUUGUUUCGAAACUCGCUUAAAAAUAUUCACUCUCUGAGGUUCAAAUAUUUUCACGAGUGAACUCCUUCAAGUUCAAGGGAAGAAAUUUUGAAAAUUGCAAAAAAUUUUGUCCUCUCUCGACAAGGUCAAGAAUCAUGGCUGGCUCGGAGAGAAAGAGGGAGAGAGAGAGAAAAGCUUUCUAGGUUUUAUUUUGAACAUUUUUAUUCACCAAACCGAGGUCGCAUAUUUUUGCAUGAACAACUGGUAUCCGCGCGAGGACUUCUGGUUCCAAGAUCAGGAAACCUGCAUUUAACGACAGUUAACACAAAAUAUCAUCAUGUAGAAAAUUCUAAAUCUAAAUUUAAACGAUAAUUAUUCGUCUUCUAUUUUAAUAUUAAUAUACUUUUAAAUUGAACAACUUUGAUGAAAGAUCAAAGAAAAAUUAAUAUAUUUUGUAUACAUUUUAUAUCUGAAGGUAAUCGAGAUCAUUUAAACAUUAACGAUAAUUGAACGAAAAAAAAAAAAAAAGAAUACUGGAAUGCAACUUUAUCUCUCUUAAUAUUUUUCUUUUUACAUAUACAUGUAUAUCGUAAUUCAAUAAGAGGGAACUUUGGUGAUCGCAAGAAGUAAGAACGAUUCUCACAUUAAGAACUCGCUACAUUAUCUCGCGAACGAUCGUUUUUCGAAAGCAAUUCCCAGCAGGUGUGAUUGUUGCAAGAACAAUCCUCCGAAAGAAUCUUCCAAUUGUCAAGAGCCAGUUCACAUCUAACGAUUAGAUAACUCAUUCUGACUCCACGCAUCUUAAUAUUCAACCAUCCUCUUCUUCGAAACAAUGUUACAAUCGUAAAUUAACGACACUUGUUCACCGACUCAUUGCAAAAAAAAAAACACACUCUCUUUCAACAAGCUGAAAAUUAAUGUUUAUUUUAAUUAAUUCUAAAUAAGAUAAGAGAGUUGAUUUUCCAGGAUAUUCUAUCUAUCUCACUAUCUAAUUCCUUAUACAGCGGCUCAAAGUUAUUUAAAUAUGUUAUCUCGCUCGGUGAAAUUUACGUAACAGGUAAUUUCGAAAAUUCUGAUUUUAAUGAAAGUGUACGUUUUGUUACGUGUAUAAAUGAAAAUUUAUACACGAGUGAAAUCAAUUCUUCAAAAAAGUUUCGAUAUAUUUUUCAUUUUUUGAAUUUUAAAUUUUUUAAUUUGCUUUGCAAUUUCCUUUCGCAACACAAUUCUCAACGUUUUGCAAUUUAAAAUUUCCCGCAUUUUUCAUCACUUCCUUCUUUAAAGCGAUGUUUUCAUUAAAAUUUCACCAACCUGUUUCAAAUUUUAUGCUAUAUCGCAAAAAUUCACUAUCGAGUCUAAUUUAAUUCUACUUACGCGAUUCGUAAUGCGCAGACAAAUGUAGGGGAAAAAAUUUAACAAAAGUACUAGAAAAGGUAUCCGAGAAAAAAACACUAUAUUUACGCCGAGAAGAGCGUAAUACAGAGAGGUGUCGAAAGAGAAUCAUAAUUCCUCGCGUUCUUGAACUUUUUAACAACUGUCUGAUUCACCGUGAUACGAGGCAAACUUUCAGAGAAAGGAAAUCGAAAUGUUUUGAAACGUCGUCCCAUGUUGGCCUGGUACCGUUGCCACAUCGAGUCUAGUUUUAGUGCUUUUGGACCGGUAAUGUGUGCACGCUUUGCCUCGUUUUUCUUCCCUUUACGGGAACCUAGGCGAUCGUUAUUUUAAUUACUUCCCGCUCGAACGUACAGUUUUGGAGAUGGUUGAAUUCUUUUUCUCCGAUUUCUAGCAAACAACGGGUGAAUCUCGAUAACUCGGAAUAUCGAUUUCACUUUUUCGAUUAUAUUAAUAAAAAUUCGUUCUUUAUUAUUAUUUCUUUGCUUAUUAAUCACAAAUCGCAAUAACGGAAUGCGAUAUUGAUUUAUAAAGCACAAGGAUACAAUCACGAAAAAUAUGUACAAAGGACUUUUAAAAAAAUGUAUGAGAACUAUGCUAUCGAAUAGCUUAAUCUGAUCUAUUACUUCCGCUUUUCUUCCUCAGUGUUGCAGAAAGAGAAAGUAACGAUCCUUUCACUCUUUAAAUCAAUAAAUAUAAGAAUUUAAUAAUAUUCAUAUAUAUAUAUACUUAUUUCACAUUUCAAAUUUAAUUAGCUAUUUUCAAUCUUUCAAUCGAAUAAAUCGUUUUCUCAUCACAUUGUUUCAAAGUUAAAACGUUCCGUUUUCUUUCCGCGACAUAUCCUUUUCCGUAAUAUUACACAUUAUAUAUAUAUAUACUGUACAUAUACUGUACAUGCCUCUGUGCUAUAUCGUCCAAUACCUCGUAUCCUCCUCUAUCUAGUUGCUUAGACACUUUGCAAUAUAAAAUCAGAUGUUAUCCGCAUAACCCUGUUAUCUCGAGUGCUUUGACUUGGAUAGAAGAAAAUUCUGUUACAUAAAUCGCGAUUUCACGUGAGAUAAGAGAGAGAGAGAGAAAGAGAGCAACAUUCCGAAAGAGAGCAGUGAAGGUUUUGCACGCAAAGUGUCUUGCGCGCAGUCCUUGUAAAAUCUAAAUGGAUCGUGGUCACGAGUAAACGUCAAACGAUGCACGUGUCUGUACACAAAUAUCCGCGUGGUGAUAGAAGUGCACGUGACAAUCGUGGUUAGAAAGCACACGAUCCUGGUGGAAUGUCAAUUUACCGACCAACCGUUAAUACCUUCGAAUGGAAACCCGCGGAGACAAGUGGUUGAAGAGAAAAAAAAAGUUAUUUUCUCCUUGUCAUAACUAACCUAACUCGCGUCAACUCGGUUUCUCGACCGACUUUACAUCGGACGUUACAUCGAUAAAGACGGUACGAGUAAGAAAGUCGUAUUGCAAUAUUAUUCUUUCCUCCAAUAACAAAAUUUAAAAGUUGAUCGUUCGUCGCAAAAUUUUUAAACGAGUUUUUAAAAUUAUUUCCAAGGAUGGACAAGACAUUGGUGCAUUGGUGCAAAUAAUUUUUCAAGAGUUCGUAAAGGAAAAUAAUAUUCGGCCAAUAAAAAUAUCACGGCGUAUCAACAUGGUAUAAUUAACGAACAAGGGCAAUGCUGGAAAAAUAUCAAUGAUAUAAUCUCUAAUUUAUAUUCAUAAAUGCA